AAAAAAAAAAAUUAGUUGUAUAAAAGGCUACAUGUCUCCCAUUUAAACCGUCUAACUUACGGUUAGAAAUGAUAUCUCCCCUUCAAAGCAAAUGAAAGAGACAUGAAAUUUGGAAGAAAGCUUUAAAAACCACUAAGGAACCAGCAAGGAAGCCAAGCCAAGGAUGACACCUCCAUUAUCUUCCUACUAUAUUCCUUGAGUAAACUCUAAGCCUUCCCC
rnacentral:misc_RNA from 1 species